GAUUACAACACUAACUUCUCUGUAAUCGCGGCUG
rfam:Petrimonas mucosa isolate ING2-E5A genome assembly, chromosome: I